GCUCGGUUGGUGUAGUCCGGCCAAUCAUGUUGGCCUUUCGACAGACGCGGCGCGAAAACGCGCCGGUUUGGAAGACAGCCGACGACCAGGGUUCAAAUCCCUGACCGAGCA
rnacentral:tRNA from 1 species